GGGGGGCGGCGGGUAGCCUUAUCUUGCCAGUCGAGCGAGAGAUGGUGCUUGCACUGAUUGGACAGCGGCGCACGUACUUUAGAACGCGUACGCAAUCUACCUUUCACAGAGGGAUAGCCCCGGGAAACUGGGAUUAAUACCUCAUGGUCCGUAAUAGUGGCAUCACUAUAACGGUAAAGUUCCGACGGUGAAAGAUGAGCGUGCGUACUAUUAGCUAGUUGGUGAGGUAACGGCUCACCAAGGCAAUGAUAGUUAGGGGGCGUGAGAGCGUGAUCCCCCACACGGGUACUGAGACACGGACCCGACUCCUACGGGAGGCAGCAGUAAGGAAUAUUGGACAAUGGAGGCAACUCUGAUCCAGCCAUCCCGCGUGCAGGAUGACGGCGCUACGCGUUGUAAACUGCUUUUGUGUAAGAUGAAACACUUCCAUUUAUGGAGGCUUGACGUUAUUACAAGAAUAAGCACCGGCUAACUCCGUGCCAGCAGCCGCGGUAAUACGGAGGGUGCAAGCGUUAUCCGGAAUCACUGCGUUUAAAGGGUGCGUAGGUGGGGCCAAUAAGUAAGAGGUGAAAAGCCCGUCGCUUAACGACGGAAACUGCCUUUUGAUACUGUUGGUCUUUGAAAUCAAGUUGAGGUAAUGCGGAAAUGUGGCAAUGUAACCGGUAAUAUUGCUC
rnacentral:rRNA from 1 species